rnacentral:rRNA from 1 species
ACUCAAAUGAAUAGACGGGGGCCCGCACAAGCAGUGGAUUAUGUGGUUUAAUUCGAAGCAACGCGAAGAACCUUACCAGGUCUUGACAUCCGACUAACGAACCAGAGAUGGAUUAGGUGCCUUUCGGGGAAAGUCGAGACAGGUGGUGCAUGGUUGUCGUCAGCUCGUGUCGUGAGAUGUUGGGUUAAGUCCCGCAACGAGCGCAACCCUUGCCAUUAGUUGCUACGCUAAGAGCACUCUAAUGGGACCGCUACCGACAAGGUGGAGGAAGGUGGGGACGACGUCAAAUCAUCAUGCCCCUUACGGCCUGGGCCACACACGUAAUACAAUGGCCAUUAACAGCGUGAUGCAAACCCGCGAGGGGGAGCCAAACACCAAAAAUGGUCCCAGUUCGGAUCGCAGGCUGCAACCCGCCUGCGUGAAGUUGGAAUUGCUAGUAAUCGCGGAUCAGCAUGCCGCGGUGAAUACGUUCCCGGGCCUUGUACACACCGCCCGU